rnacentral:misc_RNA from 1 species
CACUGGCCAAAACUGCAGAACAUGGAUGAAACUAAAAGGAAUACAAACAUUUCUGACCAACUAAAAUAGAUUGCUUGUAGGGAGGAAGGGAGAGAUAAAGAGUGCUUGCCAGCUGAUUAGCCAAACCACAAUUGCUGAUCAACUCUAUGGAUUACCUGCGUUCUGAACUUUUAAUUUUUCCUUUUCCCUCUGAUUAUUUCUCCGUUGAAAGUUUUAGUCCUGCAUUAAGCAUGUUGCUGCUAAUACUAAUACCAUCUUAUUGUGGUGCUAACCUCCACA